AGAUAGAGUCUUCCCCUUCGGGGGACAAAGUGACAGGUGGUGCAUGGUUGUCGUCAGCUCGUGUCGUGAGAUGUUGGGUUAAGUCCCGCAACGAGCGCAACCCUUAAGCUUAGUUGCCAGCAUUAAGUUGGGCACUCUAAGUUGACUGCCGGUGACAAACCGGAGGAAGGUGGGGAUGACGUCAAAUCAUCAUGCCCCUUAUGAUUUGGGCUACACACGUGCUACAAUGGACAAUACAAAGGGCAGCUAAACCGCGAGGUCAUGCAAAUCCCAUAAAGUUGUUCUCAGUUCGGAUUGUAGUCUGCAACUCGACUACAUGAAGCUGGAAUCGCUAGUAAUCGUAGAUCAGCAUGCUGCGGUGAAUACGUUCCCGGGUCUUGUACACACCGCCCGUCACACCACGAGAGUCUGUAACACCCGAAGCCGGUGGAGUAACCAUUUAUGGAGCUAGCCGUCGAAGGUGGGACAAAUGAUUGGGGUGAAGUCGUAACAAGGUAGCCGUAUCGGAAG
rnacentral:rRNA from 1 species